GACGAACCGUGCAAACGUUGUUCGGAAUCACUGGGCUUAAAGGGCGCGUAGGCGGGCAGGCAAGUCGAAGGUGAAAUCCCACGGCUCAACCGUGGAAGUGCCCCCGAUACUGCCUGUCUCGAGGGAGAUAGGGGCGUGCGGAACUUCCGGUGGAGCGGUGAAAUGCGUAGAUAUCGGGAGGAACACCGGUGGCGAAAGCGGCGCGCUGGAUCUCUUCUGACGCUGAUGCGCGAAAGCCAGGGGAGCAAACGGG
rnacentral:rRNA from 1 species